UCUAAGGCUCUCCGCAACGAUUACCCGUCAACCUGGUCAGGCCCGGAAGGGAGCAGCCAUAGCGGGAACAUCGUGUGCCGGGGUGUGGCUGGUGGGG
rnacentral:SRP_RNA from 1 species